rnacentral:rRNA from 1 species
GAUGAACGCUGGCGGCGUGCCUAAUACAUGCAAGUCGAGCGAACGGACGAGAAGCUUGCUUCUCUGAUGUUAGCGGCGGACGGGUGAGUAACACGUGGAUAACCUACCUAUAAGACUGGGAUAACUUCGGGAAACCGGAGCUAAUACCGGAUAAUAUUUUGAACCGCAUGGUUCAAAAGUGAAAGACGGUCUUGCUGUCACUUAUAGAUGGAUCCGCGCUGCAUUAGCUAGUUGGUAAGGUAACGGCUUACCAAGGCAACGAUGCAUAGCCGACCUGAGAGGGUGAUCGGCCACACUGGAACUGAGACACGGUCCAGACUCCUACGGGAGGCAGCAGUAGGGAAUCUUCCGCAAUGGGCGAAAGCCUGACGGAGCAACGCCGCGUGAGUGAUGAAGGUCUUCGGAUCGUAAAACUCUGUUAUUAGGGAAGAACAUAUGUGUAAGUAACUGUGCACAUCUUGACGGUACCUAAUCAGAAAGCCACGGCUAACUACGUGCCAGCAGCCGCGGUAAUACGUAGGUGGCAAGCGUUAUCCGGAAUUAUUGGGCGUAAAGCGCGCGUAGGCGGUUUUUUAAGUCUGAUGUGAAAGCCCACGGCUCAACCGUGGAGGGUCAUUGGAAACUGGAAAACUUGAGUGCAGAAGAGGAAAGUGGAAUUCCAUGUGUAGCGGUGAAAUGCGCAGAGAUAUGGAGGAACACCAGUGGCGAAGGCGACUUUCUGGUCUGUAACUGACGCUGAUGUGCGAAAGCGUGGGGAUCAAACAGGAUUAGAUACCCUGGUAGUCCACGCCGUAAACGAUGAGUGCUAAGUGUUAGGGGGUUUCCGCCCCUUAGCGCUGCAGCUAACGCAUUAAGCACUCCGCCUGGGGAGUACGACCGCAAGGUUGAAACUCAAAGGAAUUGACGGGGACCCGCACAGGCGGUGGAGCAUGUGGUUUAAUUCGAAGCAACGCGAAGAACCUUACCAAAUCUUGACAUCCUUUGACAACUCUAGAGACAGAGCCUUCCCCUUCGGGGGACAAAGUGACAGGUGGUGCAUGGUUGUCGUCAGCUCGUGUCGUGAGAUGUUGGGUUAAGUCCCGCAACGAGCGCAACCCUUAAGCUUAGUUGCCAUCAUUAAGUUGGGCACUCUAAGUUGACUGCCGGUGACAAACCGGAGGAAGGUGGGGAUGACGUCAAAUCAUCAUGCCCCUUAUGAUUUGGGCUACACACGUGCUACAAUGGACAAUACAAAGGGCAGCGAAACCGCGAGGUCAAGCAAAUCCCAUAAAGUUGUUCUCAGUUCGGAUUGUAGUCUGCAACUCGACUACAUGAAGCUGGAAUCGCUAGUAAUCGUAGAUCAGCAUGCUACGGUGAAUACGUUCCCGGGUCU